rnacentral:rRNA from 1 species
UACAGAGGUCUCAAGCGUUGUUCGGAUUCAUUGGGCGUAAAGGGUGCGUAGGUGGCGCCGUAAGUCGGGUGUGAAAUUUCGGAGCUUAACUCCGAAACUGCAUUCGAUACUGCGGUGCUUGAGGACUGGAGAGGAGACUGGAAUUCAUGGUGUAGCAGUGAAAUGCGUAGAGAUCAUGAGGAAGACCAGUGGCGAAGGCGGGUCUCUGGACAGUUCCUGACACUGAGUCACGAAGGCCAGGGGAGCAAACGGG